rnacentral:lncRNA from 1 species
UAUCUUCCUAGCUGUAGAUUCCUGACCCACUUGGGUUGGUGCACAAGGAAGCAAGAUGAGCCUUCUCCAUCUCCUACACACUCUGAAAUAAUCUGUCAGAAGAUCCUCAUCCUGCCGUGCUGGCUUACUCUGGAUCAAGAGACAAAGACUCCAGCUCUAUCUCUGAUGGACCGAGUAGGAAGAAUCAGCAUGAGUCAACCCACCAGGUUUCCCAGAGCUUAAUCCAGAAGGGACCCAAACACUAGGGAGUGUUUCAGGAGAGGAGGAAGAUCCAGAGCACCACCCUAUGCCAAAGAAAGCAUGAAUGCAGAAUGUGUAACUUCAUGAUGGCUAAACCUUGGAUCCCUGCUUGUCUGAGUCCAUACAGGCUGCAAUAACAAAACACCUUAGACUGGCCUCCCUCCAGUUACAUGUGACCAUGUGACUGAGCCAAUGAAAUAUGAGCAGAAGUGAUGAGUGUCACAACCAGACCAGAUCCAUAAAAAACUCCACCCUUGGCCCUCCAAGCUCUUCUCCCUGUUGACAGAUAAACUGGAGAUGUCCUCCUGAGCAACCUUGGAAACCACAUAUUGAAGAUGGUCUCUGAAUCACCCCUGGCCACCUGACUGGGAACACCAAAUAGGAUUGCUACAUGAGUGAAAAAUAAACAAUUUCUGGGCUGAGUCACUGAGACUUGUUUAUCUGUUCCAGCUGCUGGAGCUACCUUCACCAAUACAGGGGUAAUCAUAGUACCUUUUACUGGGAGGAUUAAGUGAGAUAAUGCUUACUCAACUGCCAGGUACACGGUAAGCACUCACCAUCAUCAACUUUUACUGUAGCAAGGAAGAGUUUACAGACCUG